AAAAAUUUUCUUCGGGGUCCGCAGGGGCACUCUGAAGCGGACUGAUCUANUUUUCUUUUUCCAUCUCGGAUUUUAUGACGAGUAAGAAACCGGAAANNNCNGUUUUCUGGGGCCCUNNCUGGGGAAAAAAANNUGAAGUCAAAGUCGUAACAGGGUUUCCGUAGGUGAACUCGCGGAAGGAUCAUUAACGAGUUUGAAAUCGAGAGCCUGUUGCUGGUGCGGAAACGCACAUCGUGCACGGCUCCCGUGCUCAAUCCAUUUCAACCCCCCUUGUGCACCUUAUCGAAGUCAGUAGUCUUUCUCUUUUUGUUUGCCGGUUGUGUGUGGGAACCUCUUUCUGUUCACUUGGCCGGCGAGGAGAAACAGAGGGUCAAAAGCUUUGACUUUUCUAUUAAACACUUUGUAUGUCUUGUGGAACGUAUUAGCUCCUUUGUAGGGGCGAAAUAAAUACAACUUUCAACAACGGAUCUCUUGGCUCUCGCAUCGAUGAAGAACGCAGCGAAAUGCGAUAAGUAAUGUGAAUUGCAGAAUUCAGUGAAUCAUCGAAUCUUUGAACGCACCUUGCGCCCCUUGGUAUUCCGAGGGGCAUGCCUGUUUGAGUGUCAUGUUAAUCUCAAACCCCUUGUCUUUUUUGUUGACUUGGUCGGUUUGGACUUGGAGGUGUUGCUGGCGUGUGUCGGCUCCUCUUAAUUGCAUUAGCUGGACUUUGGUUCGCAUUUGACGGUGUAAUAGUAAAGUGUUCGCCGGGCGUGCUUGCCUAACGGGUCUGCUUCUAAUCGUCUUCGGACAACUCUGUUCAUUUUGACCUUGACCUCAAAUCAGGUAGGACUACCCGCUGAACUUAAGCUUAUCUUUAAGCGGAGGAAAAGAAGCUGACAAGGAUUCCCCUAGUAACUGCCAGUGAAGCGCGAAGAGCUCAGAUUUAACAUCUGGCGGCUAUCUGUCGUCCGAGUUGUAAUCUAGAGAGGCAUUUUCCACGU
rnacentral:rRNA from 1 species